UGGUGGUGUUGAUGCAAAAAGUAAUAUAAGAAGAAUUCUCUCCAAAUUAUUUACUAACAAAUUUGCGAUUGAAUGUUCAUGGACAGGUAGAGCUUUUGAGAAGGAUGCAACUAAGUUCAGAAUUCAGGAUUUAAAAAUUAUUGCUAUAAUGAAAAGUGUGUUGUGUUAUUUUGGUGCUAUAGUAUUGUGUACUGAAACAUUUUUUUUUGAUAGGUUUAAUCAAAAAUCAGUAUCUCCAAUAUUCAGAUUCAAACUUUGAAUUAGAUGUCCAGUGUUGGUUUAGAACUGCUAAAACGAGAUUUGACAGAGAAAAACAAUCUGAAAAUUUACAAUAAUAAUUGUUUUAAACUAACUUUAAAUUUUACCAACUUUUAAAUUGUCAUUUUGUAGUUUUUCCAACAAAGUAGUUCAGAAUUUAAUAUUUUAUUUUAUACAUAAUAAAAUGAGUUGUUUUAUUAUAAUUUGUUGCAUUACCUAACUAAAUAUUUUUUAUGAUUCAUUUUAUUUUUGUUUUAAACAAAUACUGAUGUUAAUUUUUUUUAGGGUCGAUAACACCUCGUAGAAGAGUGAAAAAUAUUGGAUGCAUAUCUAAUCGGCAAUUUAAAAGGCGACUUAAGAAUGAACUUGAAAUUUUCAAUCAAACAGUAGAUCCAAUUAAAGUAACAAAACAUUUCAAUGAGCAUAAAAAAGUAAAACCAUCCAAUGCAGAAAUUAGUUUGGAACCAUUAUUUAUUGAACACUUACAAGAAGAAACUCUGUUACCUGUAAUGGCAGCACGUGCAUCUUAUAAUGAUAUUUCAAAAAAAGUUAAGCCAAUUUUUGAAAACAAAGUUAUUACUAAA